rnacentral:piRNA from 1 species
GCAAUCAAGAUCUGGCCAUAGA